GGAUCCAGACUUUGAUUAUGGCUCAGGAUGAACGCUAGCUACAGGCUUAACACAUGCAAGUCGAGGGGAAACGAUAUUGGAAGCUUGCUUCCGAUAGGCGUCGACCGGCGCACGGGUGAGUAACGCGUAUCCAACCUGCCCAUCACUUGGGGAUAACCUUGCGAAAGUAAGACUAAUACCCAAUGACGUCUCUAGAAGACAUCUGAAAGGGAUUAAAGAUUUAUCGGUGAUGGAUGGGGAUGCGUCUGAUUAGCUUGUUGGCGGGGUAACGGCCCACCAAGGCGACGAUCAGUAGGGGUUCUGAGAGGAAGGUCCCCCACAUUGGAACUGAGACACGGUCCAAACUCCUACGGGAGGCAGCAGUGAGGAAUAUUGGUCAAUGGACGAGAGUCUGAACCAGCCAAGUAGCGUGCAGGAUGACGGCCCUAUGGGUUGUAAACUGCUUUUAUAAGGGAAUAAAGUGAGUCUCGUGAGACUUUUUGCAUGUACCUUAUGAAUAAGGACCGGCUAAUUCCGUGCCAGCAGCCGCGGUAAUACGGAAGGUCCGGGCGUUAUCCGGAUUUAUUGGGUUUAAAGGGAGCGUAGGCCGGAGAUUAAGCGUGUUGUGAAAUGUAGAUGCUCAACAUCUGCACUGCAGCGCGAACUGGUUUCCUUGAGUACGCACAAAGUGGGCGGAAUUCGUGGUGUAGCGGUGAAAUGCUUAGAUAUCACGAAGAACUCCGAUUGCGAAGGCAGCUCACUGGAGCGCAACUGACGCUGAAGCUCGAAAGUGCGGGUAUCGAACAGGAUUAGAUACCCUGGUAGUCCGCACGGUAAACGAUGGAUGCCCGCUGUUGGUCUGAAUAGGUCAGCGGCCAAGCGAAAGCAUUAAGCAUCCCACCUGGGGAGUACGCCGGCAA
rnacentral:rRNA from 1 species